AAACUAUGUUGUGGGCACUAGCGAGCAAUCCCUUGUAUCUUUCCCGUACCUCUUAAUAAAAUUCCAAAUCAAACUACGAAAAUAUGGUGAUUUCUUUUUUUCUUUU
rnacentral:snoRNA from 1 species